GAGGAGUGGCGGACGGGUGAGUAACACGUGGGUAACCUACCCAUCAGAGGGGGAUAACACUUGGAAACAGGUGCUAAUACCGCAUAACAGUUUAUGCCGCAUGGCAUAAGAGUGAAAGGCGCUUUCGGGUGUCGCUGAUGGAUGGACCCGCGGUGCAUUAGCUAGUUGGUGAGGUAACGGCUCACCAAGGCCACGAUGCAUAGCCGACCUGAGAGGGUGAUCGGCCACACUGGGACUGAGACACGGCCCAGACUCCUACGGGAGGCAGCAGUAGGGAAUCUUCGGCAAUGGACGAAAGUCUGCCCGAGCAACGCCGCGUGAGUG
rnacentral:rRNA from 1 species